AUGAGCUGGGGACCAGCCAGGCUUCAGCCUGGGAGAGGGACAAGCUGCCCGCCCUCUAAACCUGGGCGCCAGUGGGUGCAUCUGCGCCUGCAGCCCGGAAGAGGGACAAGCCGUCCGCCAUGUGGUCCUGGGUGCCUGUGGCUGCAGCCUGGGUAAAGCUGCCUGCCCACGGACUCCUGUGACUGCGCCCGGCCAGAGGGAGGGAAGCCCGGGUCCCGGGUGUGGGGCGAGGCACAGGCGGUUAGGGGCAAUUAGGCCAGUAGGGGAGCAGUUAAGGGAGAUUAGGCUGAUAGGGGAGCAGUUAGGGGCGAUCAGGCAGGCAGGCAGAGGUGGUUAGGGACAGUCAGGCAGGCGAGCGGUUAGGAGCCAGCAGUCCUGGAUUGCAAGAGGCAGUCGGAUAUCCCCUGAAGGGUCCUGGAUUGGAGAGGGUACAGGCCAGGCUGAGGGGACCACCCGCCCCCCCGCCCCAACAUGAAUUUCAUGCACCGGGCCCCUAGUAAUGUUAUAAUUGUGCUACUCUUUCCCAGAUGGUUUGAAGCCUUAAUGAAUUAUGUCCAGGAUGACUUGAUUCAUUUUUAUUGACCAGUGAAGUAACUUGUGAAGGUGAGCUGGCUUCCUUGUUGAAGUUUUGAAUUUUUUGCACACAUUAAAGUCUUUAAAUGUCUUGAGGCCUAUCAAUUUCAGAUACUGUAGCCCUUUCUAUCUUAAAAUCAAGAUUGAAGAGGAUGGGGUCAGGACUGAGAUGGUGACGAGGUCUGGGUACUCGGGGGACUCCAAACAGUGAGGGGUAAGUGAGCUAUGAAUUUCUCUCAGCCUCUCCACAGGGAGAAUUUCUCUUAACCUCUCCAUGGAGGUUGUUGUGAUCCCUGUUUUCCAGAAGAUUCUCUCUAAUCUUCCUGUAGGACUUUAUAUAUUCCACAAGCUUCAAUAAAGCAGGAUUCAGUUUACUUUUAUGUUUUUCUUUGAAACUUUGUAUUUACCAUUAUUAGUUGAUUUACACCUGCUGUUACAGAAUUGAAUUCUGUUGAACAGAAAUCAUCAAUUUAGAUUAAGGGGCCUACUGUGAUUAAGUUA